UACGAAGGGGGCUAGCGUUGCUCGGAAUGACUGGGCGUAAAGGGCGCGUAGGCGGUUUGGUUAGUUAGGCGUGAAAUUCCUGGGCUCAACCUGGGGGCUGCGCUUAAUACAGCCAGACUAGAGUGUGAAAGAGGGUCGUGGAAUUCCCAGUGUAGAGGUGAAAUUCGUAGAUAUUGGGAAGAACACCGGUGGCGAAGGCAGCUCGCUGGGACGUGACUGACGCUGAGACGCGAAAGCGUGGGGAGCAAACAGG
rnacentral:rRNA from 1 species